GUGCUCAUGUCAGCAACACGUAUGCUAAAAUUGAAAUAAUACAGAGAAGAUUAGCAUGGCCCCUGUGCAAGGAUGACAUGCAAAUUUGUGAAGCAUUCCUUUUAAUA
rnacentral:snRNA from 1 species